CCUACGGGUGGCAGCAGUGGGGAAUAUUGGACAAUGGGGGGAACCCUGAUCCAGCCAUGCCGCGUGUGUGAAGAAGGCCCUCGGGUUGUAAAGCACUUUCAGUGAGGAAGAACGCCUGGUGGUUAAUACCCAUCAGGAAAGACAUCACACACAGAAGAAGCACCGGCUAACUCCGUGCCAGCAGCCGCGGUAAUACGGAGGGUGCGAGCGUUAAUCGGAAUUACUGGGCGUAAAGCGCGCGUAGGUGGCUUGAUAAGCCGGUUGUGAAAGCCCCGGGCUCAACCUGGGAACGGCAUCCGGAACUGUCAAGCUAGAGUGCAGGAGAGGAAGGUAGAAUUCCCGGUGUAGCGGUGAAAUGCGUAGAGAUCGGGAGGAAUACCAGUGGCGAAGGCGGCCUUCUGGACUGACACUGACACUGAGGUGCGAAAGCGUGGGUAGCAAACAGGAUUAGAUACCCUGGUAGUC
rnacentral:rRNA from 1 species